rnacentral:lncRNA from 1 species
ACACAUCUUGGUAAGUUCCAUGAAGAGGCAUGGUCUGUAACUGUCUUGCCAUGAUCAUUUUUUCAGGAGCCUAGAGCAGUGUUUGGCAGUCGAUAUGUCUUGAAUGAUUGAACAAAAGCUAGUUUGUGACAGAGCCACCCAGCGGAAUGUUCACCUCGUCCAACUCUUCUACACAAUCGAGAGAAACAUUCUUUUCUAAUUUCCUUCCUUUUUUAGAAAAAAUUAAUAGACCUUGGUUCUGUCCCCAACGGUCUGAAUUAGGGGUUAAUUAGGGUUAACCACAUUUUGUAUUUAUAUGUCCUUUCCUAUGGAGACAUCAAAGCCCAGAAAUGUCACCUCAAUGCCCAUACAGCUUUCCCCUCACCUCCAAGAGUGACAGAGUGAAAUUUAGAAUCCCAGGCCCUUGCAGGUAAGUCUGACAGUUUCAGUGAGCUCUGGACGGGGAGGUGCCCACAGGGUUUGUUGGUCCAGAAAGCAACAGAACUCAGUAGGCUAAAGGGAAGUGAGUCAGUGUCUUAAUGCACAUGGAUUUCAAAACAGUAGGGACUGCAGACUUCAUGGUGUGAAGAAACGCAUCUGACAGCUUUGUUAUUACAUCAGGAAAGCUGCAGUCAGCAGACACGUACGGGAUGUGGGAGGUUUGUUUUGACCACACCCCUGUCAAUAGUUACAAGAUAAGCCAAAGCAAGAAGCACAGACACCAUGCCUGGCAGAAAAGCGGCCGUUUGCGGAACUAUUUUAUGUAACACAAAACCACGUUUUCGGUCCGUAAGGCAGGGUCUCCACCUCAUUGUGUGUGCACAGAUCAAGCAAUGACGAUGGCUCUUGCCUACAGGAAGCAGCAGAAUGUCCAUGACCUUCCCCAGUGAGAUCAUCACUUCUACGGUGCCUGGGACUUCCUUACCUCUUUUUAAAGAUCUCCCUCUGUGACAGCCCCCACCUUGCUCACGGAGGACUUAGUCUUCUUAUUUGAGUCUUUAGAGCCAGCAGUGGCUAGCAUGUUAGACUCACCUGGAGAGCUUUUAAAAAAUCCCAGUACUUGGCUGCACUCAGACUGAUUAAAUUAGAACCUCUGGGCACACACACACAAAAAAAUGCUAGACGCGAUGUCUCACGCCUGUAAUCCCAGCACUUUGGGAGGCCGAGGCAGGUGGAUCAUUUGAGGUCAGGAGUUCAAGACCAGCCUGGGCAACAUGGCAAAAACUCAUCUCUACUAAAAAUAUAAAAAUUAAUCAGAUGUGGUGGUGCAUACCUGUAAUCCCAACUACUCAGGAGGCUGAGUCAGGAGAAUCUCUUGAACCCGGGAGGCAGAAUUUGCAGUGAGCCGAGAUAGCACCACUGCCUUCUAGCCUGGAAGACAGAGCUAGACUCCAUCUCAAAAAUAAUAAUAAUAAUAAAAAGAACCUCUGAGGGUUGGGCUCAGGCAACAGUAUUUUUUAAGCUCCCCAAGGUGGUCCUGACCAGGCCAAGAUUGAGUAGCCUUGCUUUUGUGUCUUGCUGAUAGGAUGCAUUCAGUAGAUUUAUUAAACAAAACCUUAUUCCUUCAGUGAAGGCCAGUGACAGAGCCCUUGUUCUGGCCAUUUUACUGGGCCAAGUUAUAAGUAAGAAUCAUCUGCCAAGGCACAGGCCUAUUGGCCCUCAUCUCCUGUGGUUCCCAAAGCAAAACUGUUACUGGAUGGAAGGUCUUGACUGUGAGUUGUCCAGGUUCUUGGCAUGUUGAGCAAAGAAUUGAACAAAAUGCACAAAGCAACAAAAGAAUGAAACAACGAAAGACAAACAAAGCAACACGAGAACGGAGUAAUGAAAGCACAGAUUUAUCGAAGCAAAAGUACAUUCCACAGAGUAGGAGCAGGCUUGAGCAAGUGGCUCAAGAGCCACCCCACCUCUCUCAUUUAAGGAUUUUUAUUAGGCUAAAGGAAUUUGGAAACACCGCUAGGUGCCCUUUAGAGGCCUCCAAUUUGUUACACCCUAUGAAGGAUUGGCCUGUGACCAGUCAGAGGCUGAAGUGGAGCCUCAGCCUGCAGUCAAUCAGAGGCUGAAGUAAAAACUUCUGUCUUGCCAUCACAGGGGUGAGGUGUGGCCUGUGUGCUGCCUAAUCUUGCCUAGAACUGGCUGCACCUGCUGUUCUUUUGCUUCUAUCUUAACUCUUGGUUUACCCUCCCUGUUCUUCUGCCUCAAUAUGGCUUUGCUGAGGGCACAAUUGGGGCCCAAGGGCCUUCAGACUCAACAGUAUGGGGCCUUGGCAUUGCUCCUCCCGGAUUUGCCAUUCACCUGGUGCUAAUCUGAGAGGACCCCAAGAGAACCCACUUCUGUAGUUCCCCAUGAGGUGUCCAGCUUCUGGGGAAACUGUUGUCCAGUGCAGUAGCUCCAGGGUUAGGAUGGCAGGGGCUGGGAGCUGCAGCUGGAAUUCCAGCAGAACCGGGAGGGUCCCUCUCCUUGGAGCUGUCAUUCCUCGUUCUCCAGCUUUCCUUGACUCCAAAACACCAUCAAGGCUGACUGUUCCGUAUGACAAAGAUAGGAUUGGAUUUAAAGGAGAAAAUAUAACUUGCUUCUCAGGUAACCGAGAAGGUGCAAGGGGUAGCCCAGUUGGAGCUGCAAAUGCCAGUUACAGGGUAAGUAGCAAUUGUCGCAUUGUUUGGGUUCUGCUCUCUAGAGAAACCCUUCAGAUAUUGUAAUGACAGGAGCAGCCCAAACUGGGUCUACUCUGUUGAUAGCAAAAUGUUGAGUUACUUUUUAGGUAUAAUAGAGCCCAAAACUGUAAGUCAUGGAGCCUGGGCAUGCACGAUAGAAGACUUAACCUCGAACAACACCAAUACCCAAACCAAUAAUUCCUCCCCUCUGAACCAAGAAGACCAGA